rnacentral:rRNA from 1 species
CACGUAGGGCGCAAGCGUUGUCCGGAAUUAUUGGGCGUAAAGAGCUCGUAGGCGGUCUGUUGCGUCCGCUGUGAAAACUCGGGGCUUAACCCCGAGUCUGCAGUGGAUACGGGCAGACUAGAGGUAGGUAGGGGAGAAUGGAAUUCCCGGUGUAGCGGUGAAAUGCGCAGAUAUCAGGAAGAACACCCGUGGCGAAGGCGGCUCUCUGGUACGUGACUGACGCUGAGACGCGAAAGCGUGGGGAGCAAACAGG